rnacentral:rRNA from 1 species
CCUACGGGAGGCAGCAGUGGGGAAUUUUGGACAAUGGGGGCAACCCUGAUCCAGCCAUGCCGCGUGUGUGAAGAAGGCCUUCGGGUUGUAAAGCACUUUCGGACGGAACGAAAUCGCGCGGGUGAACAAUCCGCGUGGAUGACGGUACCGUAGGAAGAAGCACCGGCUAACUACGUGCCAGCAGCCGCGGUAAUACGUAGGGUGCGAGCGUUAAUCGGAAUUACUGGGCGUAAAGCGUGCGCAGGCGGCGCCGCAAGUCAGGCGUGAAAUCCCCGAGCUUAACUUGGGAAUGGCGCUUGAAACUACGGUGCUGGAGUGUGGCAGAGGGAGGUGGAAUUCCACGUGUAGCGGUGAAAUGCGUAGAGAUGUGGAGGAACACCGAUGGCGAAGGCAGCCUCCUGGGCCAACACUGACGCUCAUGCACGAAAGCGUGGGGAGCAAACAGGAUUAGAUACCCUGGUAGUCCACGCCCUAAACGAUGAUGACUAGUUGUUGGGGGAGUUAAAUCCCUUAGUAACGCAGCUAACGCGUGAAGUCAUCCGCCUAGGGAGUACGGUCGCAAGAUUAAAACUCAAAGGAAUUGACGG